UCAACACAAAAUUACAUCCAGACAAAAGCAAAACCAUAUACAACAAUUUUAAUCGGCCUUGAAGCAUAAAUUUACUCCUACAAAAUGUAUACUAUUUACUUCAGAAAAGAGCAGAUAACCACCUUAUUUAUACAUGAUUAGCAAUCCUCCUCCUAGGUCCUCUUAAUUUGUUCUAUCCCAUCCGCAAGGAAUUCUUUGAUCUGUCAUCUUGAUAUUUCCACACCUCAUCCUUAGGAAUCCUUGUCAAACCACCACUACUCAUACAUGACUAGUAGCUUGCGUUCUCUAGUGACUCCAUUUUUGGCUAAGUUAUCUACUGUCUGAUUUACUUCCCGAGGGACGCGCUUCACCGGCCAGUUUCCUCAUCUGUUUUUCAAUCUUUCUAUGCUAAUCACCCAUUUCCUCAUUCGCCAUGGUGCUAUUUAUGGUUGAAGGACCUAACUUAUAGCGUUUUUUUAAAUCACUCUCCACAGUCAGGGUGAAGCUCCCACACCAUUUUGUGGUUGAAAAAAUAGGAAGGCCUCCCUUAUAGCGAAUACCUUAGCCAAAUUAGAGUCCCCCAUUCCAAUGGCCUUGGAAAGAACAAUUUUAACAUCCCUAUUUGAGUCUUGAAAAAC
rnacentral:lncRNA from 1 species